UUUGGGGUUUGUACGAUGACCACUGAUUUUUUAAGCAGAUCAUCAAACUUGUGGAGGGAGAUAUAGAAGAGAGAGAAUGGCGUCCGUUUCCCUCUGGUGUAGUGCACGCCCAGCUCAACCUAUCAAACUAGGGUUUCAUCAAAAUCCGAGUUGCUCAAUUGGUUCUUCCUCACUCAAUCAUUACACUUGCAGGUUCAAGAAUGCCGCCAAAUUGCUGACGGGGAGAAGGUUGUCUUUGGUACAUGCAUCAAACAAGUCUUCAGAAGAACCCGUCGAAGCAAUUUCAGGUGGCAGUACAAGCACUGCCCAAGGACCUCCUUUUCUUACUAUUUUGGCUGGUAUUGUCGUCUUUGCUCUCGUACUCUGGCUCUUUGGAUCUCUCAUUUCAUGGCUUAUUGGUCUCUUCGGCUUGAUUUUCUCUAAAUAAGUGGUUACGUUUUUGUUGUAUUUGAUUGAGACAUGAUUUCGGGUCCAUUUUUCAUUAGCAGAUGUAAUUAAACUCGCUUUGAAUUUGAUUUACUCUACUUUCUAACUUGACAUGUUAUGCAACAAAAUCAUUUGUUAACAAGAACCCUCUUGAAUGGCUUUAACGCCAUUUGGUGGAUCA